CCUGGCUUCACAUUUGAGUCUGUUCUGUGGGUGAUAAUAACUGGAAUUCUAAUUAUGAUUCCUUCCUGGUUCUUCAAAUCGGAAACUGUGGCAGUUUCCUUUGGCUUCGUUUCCAAUGGUGCUUUCCAGAGCUUGCUGCUAAAUGGCCACCAAGAAGGAGAUUCGAGUUCAGUCAACAGCCUGUCUGCCACGUCCAUAUCCCCUUCGAUCUUGUUGAGUCCUCUCAUGAUGUUAUCAAACUGCUCGCCCUGGUAAUGCAGCACUUUUGCUGUGUCUUCCAGCCGUUUCUGAGACCCAGUCAAUAACCCAGUCAGUUCCUU
rnacentral:lncRNA from 1 species